rnacentral:lncRNA from 1 species
AAAAAAAUAAAUAAAAAUAAAAUAAAAUGAGCUGAGUUGGUUACACUGACUAACUCAAACAAAAGUAGGCUUUGGGCAAGACCUAAAUUACCAGGAUAACGGAGGCCCAAAUUAUCCAGACAAUAUGUAGAUUACGGACAAAUACAAAUAAUGAAGAUCGAAGACAUGUUUGAGUUAUGUACAGGCUGAAGGAAAACUGAUUCUCGGGGAAGGGAAGCAGGCAGGUGAGGCCCAGGGUUUCUGGGAAACCCCUGUGUAAACAGUGGCAGGGGGUUAGCAACCCCCACUGCUGCUUCCUUCUGAGAUGCUGUCUGGGAGGAGAGGUCUGAAUCAGGUGCGUUCCUAGAGGCAUGGGGGCUCUGCCAGGCUGAGGGUGGCUCUGUCCUCAGGCAUCUGCUCCCAGGCCUCAGCAGCCCCAGUGGAACGCAUCAAGUUUCGCUGAGCUGGUCUUUCUAACUUUCUCCCCGGCAGCUCCGCGGGAAGCAGGAUCAAAUGUUCUCCAGCCUGAAAAGCCCGGCUGGGGUGUGAGGAGAAAGGAGAAGGGGAGGAGGGGCGGCCAAUCUGCGGUAUUGGAAGGGGAGGGGCCGGGGCCGGGCCCCAGGGACAGGCCUCGUGACUCUCCUUGCUCCCUUUCUGUUUAACCCUCCCAGCCAAUUCUUUUUCCUUUAGCCAUUAGCUCUUUUUGAUCCACGUAAAAGGGGGUGGGGGGCGGGAAAUCUGGCGUGGACUUGGAGGCGUUCAGCACACCCGCGACCGCUGCGUGGCAUAAACUACAGGGGGCGCCAUUCACAUAGGAUACGACAGACAUGGCGCCCGCCCCCUCCGCCCCCCCAGUACAACGUGGGGGCCCUGCUGCCACGCCCUCGGGUCUGACCUGACCCCAGGACAAGCUGGCGGGUCAUCCUACCCUGUACCUCACUUCCCUCGCUCCUUCUCUUCCCAACCCACCCCCAAGCCCCCGCCGCCAACUCCUGUCUUGGCCCCUCACCCUCCAGGUCGCUCUUGUUCUGGCCCCCACUCCUGCAGGCCACGCUGCGGAUGGUUCAGAGAGAGACGGGGGCGGGGGAAGGAGCCAUCGGGCCUUCUCCUGCGCAUGCUCGCUGUGAGACGAGCGCUGUGAGCCCUGGGGACUCGCUGCCCUUUUGAUUAACUCGUCUUAUUACGUGGCUCUCCCGGCUCUCCUUGGGGACCCUCCAUGCCCACCAUCCCAGGGGGCCUUUGGGAUCCAUGCCUGGCACGGGCUUGGAAGGAAUCCCCAGGCACCGGCCCACUCAGUCACUAAAGGAUGAUCCGGCCUGCCCAUCUGUCCCCCUUUUCAUCCUCUAACCCAAGGUUUAUCUGAAGGAGCGUGCUACAAUUCAUAAGCAUCAAAUGCCCAUAAUAAAGGCCAUUUGCUUUCAUGACCACCUUUGUCA